rnacentral:rRNA from 1 species
UACGAAGGGUGCAAGCGUUAAUCGGAAUUACUGGGCGUAAAGCGUGCGUAGGCGGUUUGUUAAGUCUGCUGUGAAAUCCCCGGGCUCAACCUGGGAAUGGCAGUGGAUACUGGCAAGCUAGAGUGUGUCAGAGGAUGGUGGAAUUCCCGGUGUAGCGGUGAAAUGCGUAGAUAUCGGGAGGAACAUCAGUGGCGAAGGCGGCCAUCUGGGACAACACUGACGCUGAGGCACGAAAGCGUGGGGAGCAAACAGG